rnacentral:rRNA from 1 species
UACGUAGGAUCCGAGCGUUGUCCGGAAUUACUGGGUGUAAGGGCGUGUAGGUGGGUCUCUCAGUCGGUGGUGAAAUCCUGCAGCUUAACUGUAGAAUUGCCCCCGAUACUGGAGAUCUUGAGUGCGGCAGAGGGAGAUGGAAUUCAUGGUGUAGCGGUGAAAUGUGUAGAUAUCAUGAAGAACACCAGUAGCGAAGGCGGUCUCCUGGUCCGUAACUGACACUGAGGCGCGAAAGCUAGGGGAGCAAACAGG